UACGGAGGGGGCUAGCGUUGUUCGGAAUUACUGGGCGUAAAGCGCACGUAGGCGGCUUUGCAAGUUAGAGGUGAAAGCCCGGGGCUCAACCCCGGAAUUGCCUUUGAGACUGCAUCGCUAGAAUUGUGGAGAGGUAAGUGGAAUUCCGAGUGUAGAGGUGAAAUUCGUAGAUAUUCGGAAGAACACCAGUGGCGAAGGCGACUUACUGGACACAUAUUGACGCUGAGGUGCGAAAGCGUGGGGAGCAAACAGG
rnacentral:rRNA from 1 species